rnacentral:rRNA from 1 species
GUGGGGAAUAUUGGGCAAUGGGCGAAAGCCUUACCCAGCAACGCCGCGUGAGGGAAGAAGGUUUUCGGAUUGUAAACCUCUGUCCUGGGGGACGAAGGAAGUGACGGUACCCCGGGAGGAAGCCCCGGCUAACUACGUGCCAGCAGCCGCGGUAAUACGUAGGGGGCGAGCGUUGUCCGGAAUUAUUGGGCGUAAAGGGCGCGUAGACGGCUGAGUAAGUUACUGGUGAAAGCCCAGCUUUUAAGGCUGGAAUUGCCGGUAAUACUGUUCAGCUUGAGUGCAGGAGAGGGAAGCGGAAUUCCUAGUGUAGCGGUGAAAUGCGUAGAUAUUAGGAGGAACACCAGUGGCGAAGGCGGCUUUCUGGACUGUAACUGACGUUGAGGCGCGAAAGCGUGGGGAGCAAACAGGAUUAGAUACCCUAGUAGUCC